rnacentral:rRNA from 1 species
GACGAACGCUGGCGGCGUGCUUAACACAUGCAAGUCGAACGGAAAGGCCCUGCUUUUGUGGAGUGCUCGAGUGGCGAACGGGUGAGUAACACGUGAGUAACCUGCCCUUGACUUUGGGAUAACUUCAGGAAACUGGGGCUAAUACCGGAUAGGAGCUCCUGCUGCAUGGUGGGGGUUGGAAAGUUUCGGCGGUUGGGGAUGGACUCGCGGCUUAUCAGCUUGUUGGUGGGGUAGUGGCUUACCAAGGCUUUGACGGGUAGCCGGCCUGAGAGGGUGACCGGCCACAUUGGGACUGAGAUACGGCCCAGACUCCUACGGGAGGCAGCAGUGGGGAAUAUUGCACAAUGGGCGGAAGCCUGAUGCAGCAACGCCGCGUGCGGGAUGACGGCCUUCGGGUUGUAAACCGCUUUCGCCUGUGACGAAGCGUGAGUGACGGUAAUGGGUAAAGAAGCACCGGCUAACUACGU